GGACUAUAGCUCAGUGGUAGAGCAUGGGCUUUGUGUUCCAAAGAUCCCAGGUUCAAUCCCCAGCAUUUCCA